GACCUAAUACAUGCAAGUCGAACGAACUCUGGUAUUGAUUGGUGCUUGCAUCAUGAUUUACAUUUGAGUGAGUGGCGAACUGGUGAGUAACACGUGGGAAACCUGCCCAGAAGCGGGGGAUAACACCUGGAAACAGAUGCUAAUACCGCAUAACAACUUGGACCGCAUGGUCCGAGUUUGAAAGAUGGCUUCGGCUAUCACUUUUGGAUGGUCCCGCGGCGUAUUAGCUAGAUGGUGGGGUAACGGCUCACCAUGGCAAUGAUACGUAGCCGACCUGAGAGGGUAAUCGGCCACAUUGGGACUGAGACACGGCCCAAACUCCUACGGGAGGCAGCAGUAGGGAAUCUUCCACAAUGGACGAAAGUCUGAUGGAGCAACGCCGCGUGAGUGAAGAAGGGUUUCGGCUCGUAAAACUCUGUUGUUAAAGAAGAACAUAUCUGAGAGUAACUGUUCAGGUAUUGACGGUAUUUAACCAGAAAGCCACGGCUAACUACGUGCCAGCAGCCGCGGUAAUACGUAGGUGGCAAGCGUUGUCCGGAUUUAUUGGGCGUAAAGCGAGCGCAGGCGGUUUUUUAAGUCUGAUGUGAAAGCCUUCGGCUCAACCGAAGAAGUGCAUCGGAAACUGGGAAACUUGAGUGCAGAAGAGGACAGUGGAACUCCAUGUGUAGCGGUGAAAUGCGUAGAUAUAUGGAAGAACACCAGUGGCGAAGGCGGCUGUCUGGUCUGUAACUGACGCUGAGGCUCGAAAGUAUGGGUAGGAAACAGGAUUAUAUACCCUGGUAGUCCAUACCCGUAAACGAUGAAUGCUCAGUGUUGGAGGGUUUCCGCCCUUCACUGCUGCGCUAACGCAUUAAUCAAUUCCC
rnacentral:rRNA from 2 species